UACACUGCCUGGUUUUGUGGUUUGCACGAGACGGUUGACACAAUGAUCUGAAGUUCAAACUGCCAUUUUCUACUGUCCGCUGCAAGAUCUUGGCUGGAAUGUAAAAGGAAUGUCCAAAAUAUUUAAAUGACAAACAGGAUGGGAACUGAUAAUGAGGAAUGUAUGUCCAGUUUUUUUUGUUUUUUUUUUUGUGUUUUUUUAAUACAGAUAUGAAAGAUGACAUUACCCUAACUUAGAGUCAUAGGAGUUUCAUUAAUUUAUUUACUCAGAUGCUGAAACAGACAUCUGGCAUAUUCCUAUAAUCAGUAUCAUGGCCUUUGUAUACAACAAAAUUGAUUGGAACUCCUAGACUAGAAAUAUAAUUCAAGAUUUAAAUAAGGCACUGGUCAUAGUUUUAGAAAGAGUGGCUAGCAUUCUGCAUACUAGCCAAGAUUGAUACCUCUCCACAAAUUAACAAAGACAUCAAUGAAGCUUUGCUAAAGCUAGUGACAAUUUACAUGUUUUCUUAUGUGGCUUAAUUAUAAUAAUGUCAAGAAAGCUAAUUAAAUAAGAACUAUACAUUU